rnacentral:rRNA from 1 species
UUUGAAGUCUGGCCUGCCCAAUGAUAAUUGUUAAAUGGCCGCAGUAUUCUGACUGUGCAAAGGUAGCAUAAUCAUUAGUUUUUUAAUUAAAAGCUGGUAUGAAUGGUUUGAUGAGAAAAGAUCUGUCUCAUAAUUAUUGAUUUAAAAAUUUAUUUUUAAGUUAAAAAGCUUAAAUGUUUUAAAAAGACGAGAAGACCCUAUAGAGUUUCAUAUUUAUUUAUAAAAUUUUAUUUUGGAUUUAUAUUUAUUUUUGUGAGUUUAAAUAUUUCAUUGGGGUGAUGUAAAAAUUUAGUUAACUUUUUAUAGUAAAAACAUAAAUGAAUGGUUUCAUGAUCCUUUAUUAGGAUUAAUAGAAAAAAUUACCUUAGGGAUAACAGCGUAAUUUUUUUUGAGAGUUCUUAUCGAAAAAAGAGAUUGCGACCUCGAUGUUGGAUUAAAAUUAAUUUUUGGUGCAGAAGCUUAAAAAUUAGGUCUGUUCGACCUUUAAAAUUUUACAUGAUCUGAGUUUAAACCGGCGUGAGCCAGGUUGGUUUCUAUCUUUUAAUUAUUAAAAUGUUUCAGUACGAAAGGACCAUACAUUAAAAUUAUAUUUUAUUUUUUGAAUUAUGUUAUUAUUUUGGCAGAUUAGUGCAAUAAAUUUAGAAUUUAUAUAUGUAGGUUGAUUACAAAUAAUAUUGCUUUUUUGAGAUUUGUUGACAGUUUUUGUUUC